rnacentral:rRNA from 1 species
GUGAGGAAUAUUGGGCAAUGGGGGCAACCCUGACCCAGCCAUGCCGCGUGAGUGAAGAAGGUUUUCGGAUUGUAAAGCUCUUUCGGAUGUGACGAUGAUGACGGUAGCAUCUAAAGAAGCCCCGGCAAACUUCGUGCCAGCAGCCGCGGUAAUACGAAGGGGGCAAGCGUUGUUCGGAAUUACUGGGCGUAAAGGGUGUGUAGGCGGUUAUGUAAGAUAGCGGUGAAAUGCCGGGGCUCAACCUCGGAAUUGCCUUUAUGACUAUAUAACUAGAAUAAUGGAGAGGAUAUCGGAAUACCCAGUGUAGAGGUGAAAUUCGUAGAUAUUGGGUAGAACACCAGUGGCGAAGGCGGGUAUCUGGCCAUUUAUUGACGCUGAGGCACGAAAGCAUGGGGAUCAAACAGGA